GAUGAACGCUGGCGGCGUGCCUAAUACAUGCAAGUCGAGCGAAGCGGGGACGGGUGAGUAACACGUGGAUAACCUCCUAUAAGGAUGGGAUAACUUCGGGAAACCGGAACUAAACCCGAUACUUUUAGCUGGUUCCGCGCUGCAUUAGCUAGUUGGUAAGGGAACGGAUUACCAAGGCAACGAUGCAUAGCCGACCUGAGAGGGUGAGCUGCCACACGGGAACUUAGACACGGUCCAGACUCCUACGGGAGGCAGCAGUAGGGAAUCUUCCGCAAUGGGCGAAAGCCUGACGGAGCAACGCCGCGUGAGUGAUGAAGGUCUUCGGAUCGUAAAACUCUGUUAUUAGGGAAGCGGUACCUAAUCAGAAAGCCACGGCUAACUCCGUGCCAGCAGCCGCGGUAAUUC
rnacentral:rRNA from 1 species